CUUUGGUGAUGAUGCAAUGACAAGUCAGAAGGUCACAUCCUGCCCUUGGGCCAUAUCAGUGCCACAUUCUGUGGUGCUGUGCGUGGGUUCCUUUGGCAAAAAUGUCCUGUUCAUUGACUGAUUUAGAGGCAUUUGUCUGAGAAGG